GAAAUGAGUAAAAGGUGAAGUUUGAUGAUAAUGAGCUAGGGGAGAUUCUAAGGAUACAUGUUGAAGGCUACAUAAGCAACAUGUCAUAUGUUUCACAUGAAUAUGUAACUUGAGUAACCUCUACUUCCUAAGCAGCCUUCAUUGAACAACCAACCAUACUAUAUAUAAAUACUAGAUAUCCCGUGCAUGUGUUGUGCACGGGCCUAACACGACCAUAAGCCUAACACCACUGCACAAAAUAGGUCCGAGAGUAAGAAAGAUAAUUUCAUACUUGUGUAGUAAGAUUACCCCCGAAAAAUAAAAUGACGAAGCAAUACCAUCCGUUGACUAAAUAUUACAACAUAAUACACCACAUUCAUUUGUUUAGCUUCAUUAGUCCAAUUGCAUUUUUAGCUUGCUUCUAUGAGAAUGAGAAAGAUAAAAACAAUCAGAUAAAUCGUGUUCAUGUUGGUAGUCCCACUAAUACAAAAUAUUGGAUAAAAUUUGGACAGUUGCAGUUGACAACAAAUACUUCAUCUUAUAUCCACCUAAAGAAAAGAAAAUCAAGCAUUAGUAUUAUUGGUAAGACUUACAUAUGGUAGUAUAACAAUCAUAAAAUUCAGCUAGUUUGCAUAUUCAGCAAAACAAUCAUAAAUUCAUUAAUUUUGGAGGAAAAAGAGGGGCAUAAAAUAUCAGCAUGGACUAAGAGGAGAAAGAAAAGAUUCAGACACGGUAGACCUAUUGAAAUGCCCCCAUCAAAGGCAUGUUCUAAAUCUGAAUUGGGUCUCUUCUUUUUAGCAAUCUAUAGCUAGGCAUUAAAUAAUGAUUUACAACCUUGGAGGACCUAUUUAGGGAUAUGAACCUUUAACCUAUUUCAUUGGAGGAGACUAUCUUCAUUGAUUUUGGUAUUGAUGUAAUAACUGAAAAGUGAUACACACCAAAUUUAAAAUAGAAAAUCUGCAAUAGAAGCACUACCAGUAAAUCACAAUUCACAACCAUACUCGCAUAUUCUGUGACUUAGGAGAGAUCAUGUAGUGGUAUUUCUAUUUCAAUCACCUGACCCUACUCUAUUCAUGAGAACAACUGCUAUCUAUGUUGAAUGAAUGCGUCCAGGUUACUACAAAAAUUUCUAGACAAAUUCUAACUUCUGCAAAUACUACUUCAAUUGCCUUAUUUCUAUUAUAUACUUACAAGCAACGACCAUCUCAUCAUGACCAUCUAUCGAAGAGAUGCACCAAAAAGAUCUGAAAAACAUAAAGCAGAUAAACGAACCUUCAAAAUAUAAGUUUUGAGUAGUAUUUAAACACAUGUUAAAGGAUACAAUGAAAAGAAGCAUAUUGCCAACGACAAGUCUGUUUUUUCAUUUCCUUGCAAAACUUACUAAUGACAAACUAAGUGAAUGUGUGGGCUAAAGAUGUUGCAACCUGAUCAUUCUAGAUAUGUCCAUGUUAUUGUCCUUGGUGGGGCUUCAGUGAGAGUUCAUCAUUUAUAAUUUGCUGCUUUUGAGGCUAGUGAAAAAUAUUCAACAUGUUGUGCGAGAGAUUUGGAAACAACAGUUAUCACUUAUCACAUGCCAUCAGUUCUUGCUCGAUCCUUAUCUAUAUGAAAUAAAGCGUGCGUCUAUACCGAUAAGUAGAUAUUGAUUGAUCUCAACUAAUCAAGGGGAAAAUGUUUGAUAUUUUGGUCAAUUCAAAAUAUCAUAAUAAAAAUACCCCCGUACCCUGACAACUUAAAAAAAGUGAAAAGAAGAAAGGAAUGUUGAGGCUAGGAAUGAAGUGCAAAGAGAAAACUGGAGAAAUAAAACUCACAUGCAGACAUCCACUAAUCAAACAAAUCAAAUGCUCAAAAAACAAAAUCAGAGAACAUAGCUUACCAAUUAAUACAAUCGCAGCACACCAGAUUGAUCGGCAAAGGACUGUCAAUCCAACUAAAGAAGAUACUAUCAUGUGACAGAAGCAUUAUUCAAAGUUCAAACUUGCCGCAAUUAUUACUCCCACCGUUCCAGUUUAUGUAAACCUAGCUAUUUCCUUUUUGGUCCGUUCCAAAAAGAAUGACCCCUUUCUAAAUUUGGAAACAAUUUAGCUUAAACUUCCAAUUCUACCCUUAAUGAGAAGCUUUUAUAACCACACAAAUACUCUGGUCCCCAUUUUGACUUGUUUAGGACCACAAAUUCUAAAAAAGUCAUCAUUUUUUCUUAAACUCCGUGAUCAGUCAAACAUGUUCACAUAAAUUGGAACAGAGGGAGUAUUAUUGAAAAAAAUGGAAGGGAAGGAAAAGAUAAAGCUGUAAUUUUGAUUACUUUUGCUCCACGCGUAUAGUAGUCACCGGAACAUCUAUGUACAAGAUAAAAAGUCAUAAGCAAGCUGCGGUAAGGACUUUAUUUUCCUGCAAAACAAUUGUUGAUGUAUAGAAAAACAUGUUACUAAUUUAUAUGAGGGAAUCAAUUAGGAUAUUUGCGAACGAACAUUUAAACUUGUUGCUAAAUUUUUAUGUUUGAGUAGCUUAGUAACUUUUAUUCUCUGUGUAAAAGCAUAGGAGUUAGCAGGACUUCAGAAUAUGCAAGCAUUUGAACUAUCUCGGAGGAGUUGAUUGAAAUAUUUCAAGAAUUUCUCAAGGAUUAAUCUUCAUUUCCUGCACAUACUCUAGUCCCUCUCGAGAUAGUAAUUCUGGGGUUUUCACAUUAUAAAAUGACAUAAAGAUGAUCUCCGAAUGAUCUUCUUAGCUGCUACUUGAUUUUCAAAUGUAUCAACCAAAUCAGACAACCCAAUGAAUGAAAGCUCUUAAUCUUCAUUAUACUCCAGCAUAGAGCGAUAAUGUCUCAAAUUCUAGAGUAAUCUUAAUAUCUCGUUCUGAACACUUAUGUCAUUUGAGUAUCAAAUAAAUCUCAGUUGUAACCUAAAAGCAACAACCAUAAAUUCCAGCUUUGUUUCUUUGAUACUAUGUUGUAGAUUAGUUUUAUGGAGUUACAACCAACAAAUCAGAAGUAGAAAGAUUCAAAAAAUGACGAAGAAACAAUAAUAAUUCAACGAUGAUAGAUAAACAAAAUUGAUUGUCCUUGUAAUAUUGCAUAGAUCAGAGAGCUAUUGUUGAAAUGUGAGACCCGUUUGGCCAUAGAUCACUUUUGACACGGAACCAACCCCCAGAGGAAACAGAGGGACAACAACACAAAACUGCAGCACAUCCCUAUUUUUAUUUCUAAAGCAAGAAAGAACAACGACACUGCCACUCUUCAAUUAAUUUCUAAAUCAAUUCCCAAAUAGAAUUUCAGUGCACCUUUAUCAUCUCUCAACGCAAUUCUAAUGUGCAAAGUCGCCCAAACCUGUAGAAGUAAGAGGUUCUUACUCCCAUGUAGUCUAAAUACUUUUUUUCUUACUAUUUUCUUCAAUCCUUUAUCUUCUUUUUUAUAACAAGAAUAAGUACAACUAUAGAUUUGUUGCCUAACAUAAACUUUUCCUAAGCAUUCAUCCCACAAAUCAAAGUAGGCAAAUAACUUUAAGCUUUUCCUAAUCAUGUAUAUUCCAAUCAAUCAACCUCCAUUCCAUACAUCAUCCUAUUUCUUUGGAUGCUGUCAUAGCCAAAAAGAAGUGACAAAAUAAGACGGUAAACUUUCCUCUUCCAUUGUUAUCUUCGAGAAAUAGAGUAAGACAGUGGACACAUAGAAGGUUUGAAGAUGAAAUUUCAUAAAGAUACCCCACGCCCUAGAUCACUUUCAGCAUUCUAAAGAUGCCAAGUGAAUGUAGAAAUUUGAAAGUUCUAAAAGAUGGAUAUAUAUUCUUUGUUCCGAGUUGGCGAUUUUGGUGUUAUAGAUGUAGUUUAUUGUAAGGUCUGUAAUGUUAUUUGAAAAGUGUUCAUGACGGCUAGUAAGAUGAUAAAGCCCAUAAUACUGUAUGUAAUACCCGAAAGAAUUGUACUCUAGCUAGUUUGUUGAACAUACCAUCACAAUCUCGGUGUUGUUUGUAAUUAGAAAAUUUACCUUUUUAAUCAAAAGCAAUAUAAGGAGAAAAUAUGGUCAAAGUAUAGAAUCAGAUAUGCUGAGCACAUUUUUCCUGAAAUAAAAAGAACUCAAUUUAGUAAAAAUUUUGAUUCAUAUCUUCUCAAGCUCAACCUGAGACUAUACUUUCCUAAAGUCGGAAUAGGAUCGUUCUCCACUUCACGAGAUUUUAAAAAGAACAACUUAAUUUUGUAAAUACUUCAUUAAUCAUUUUUCCCAAAUAAAGUUUUUAAACAUAUAAAAUCUCUAUAAGAAGACAAAAGUGAAAGAACACAAGUAUUUUUCUUGGCUGUACAUUAAAAAUAAAAAGAAUGCAUUUGAAACAUUAGUUUGCUAAUUUCAGUACUGUUGAAGAAGCCUUGUAAAACAUUAAAUUCGGAUAGCCUAACAUACAAUUAUUUCUUGUUAGCUAAGAAGUCCUUUAAAGUAUGCAUCAACUACCGUCAACAGUCAGAUAAAUAUUACUUCUCAUUUAAUUCUAUCCUCUCAUGUCUACAGCAGUUUAGAAAAUCCACAAAAUUGUUUAGAUCCUGGGGCCAUCUUACAAUUACACCAAGAAUACACAAACUGCAAUGACUUGAAUUGAAUACAUGCUAAGGCCCAAUAAGUAUUUUGAAAAAAACUAUAGUUUCUUUCCACAUUGUGCAAAAAAAGCACGAAGGAACUUAUUACUGGAUGUCUUUGUGAAUGUAAUAGAAAAUCUCAUGAAUUAAGCAUAAAAAACCUUUUGUUCUUGGGGAUAAUUGCAUUUUUAAUGAGUUACUAAUAUUGAAAAGGGGAAGUAAGUAAAAGUAAACCAAAAUGUGCAGAACUUACCUGGUACAAGUGAAGCAAUAUUCCUUUCCCCACUUUCAGUUAACAACUUCCUUUAAGAAAAAUCUGAAAAAUCAAUAUUUUGGGACCAUUAUAUUCCUACUAAAUGAAUACAAAAAUAUUCGGUAAUAUCAAAAGUUCAUAUUUCAAACAAAACCCAAGUAAGCGAUACACUAUUCAGUUUAAUAGAGUCUCGUCAAAAAAUAAUAAAAUAGGAGUAAUAAUUUUGAAAAAGAAGAAGAUAAACCCAAUUAAAGAACAUUGUGUGAGAAAAAUAUUGUGCAUGAGUAAAUCAAACAUAUCUACUGACAUGUAUGUAUAACAUUCAAUAAAAUACUGCCCAAAAGUUCAAGAUGCCCAAAAAAUUAUAUUAAAAACAGGAUCCAAACACAUGCAUAGCCGAGAAAACAGAGGAAGAUGCAAAGAAGGUGUCCAAUUCCCUGCUUCUUAGUAGGAGAAACUGAUAGAUAAGUCACCAAAGAAACCCCAAAUUUUCCAUCUUUCAAUUUUCUUUUUCAAACUUUCAGUUCAUACACUUUGAAAACCUAAAUAGACACAAUUCAAUAAUGUAGCCACAUAAGACUCACCAAUCCUUGUAACAUUAAAAAAAUUAGAAAUGGUAAAAGAUAAAAGAUAAAAGAUAUUCUCCAUCUUCAUAAUAGCCAAAGGUAACACAUAAAUAUUAAAAAAAUGAACCCAGAUGGGACUAAAUCUAAAAACUGAGCAAAAUAUUAACAGGGGGAAGAAGAAAAAGGCAUCAGCAAGAGAAAGAGUCGGUGGAAGGGAAAUUGAGAAAUGUAGGAAAAAGGAACUAAACCCACG
rnacentral:lncRNA from 1 species